CGAACGGCAGCACAGCCCGCAAGGGUGGGUGGCGAGUGGCGGACGGGUGAGGAAUACAUCGGAAUCUGCCCAGUUGUGGGGGAUAACCAGCCGAAAGGUUGGCUAAUACCGCAUACGACCGGAAGGUGAAAGCGGGGGACCGUAAGGCCUCGCGCGAUUGGAUGAGCCGAUGUCGGAUUAGCUAGUUGGUGGGGUAAAGGCCUACCAAGGCGACGAUCCGUAGCUGGUCUGAGAGGAUGAUCAGCCACACUGGAACUGAGACACGGUCCAGACUCCUACGGGAGGCAGCAGUGGGGAAUAUUGGACAAUGGGCGCAAGCCUGAUCCAGCAAUGCCGCGUGUGUGAAGAAGGCCUUCGGGUUGUAAAGCACUUUUGUCGGGAACGAAAAGCGGCGGGUUAACAACCUGACGUGCUGACGGUACCUGAGGAAUAAGCACCGGCUAACUUCGUGCCAGCAGCCGCGGUAAUACGAAGGGUGCAAGCGUUAAUCGGAAUUACUGGGCGUAAAGGGUGCGUAGACGGUUUGUUAAGUCGGAUGUGAAAGCCCCGGGCUCAACCUGGGAACUGCAUCCGAAACUGGCAGGCUAGAGUGCGAUAGAGGAUGGUGGAAUUCCCGGUGUGGCGGUGAAAUGCGUAGAGAUCGGGAGGAACAUCUGUGGCGAAGGCGGCCAUCUGGAUCAGCACUGACGUUGAGGCACGA
rnacentral:rRNA from 1 species